AUUACAAAAUGUUGGCGUGUUUCUUGCAUAUCUUGACACAGCACCAAAAACUGAAUUCAGUCACAAGUUUGUAGCCUGUUACGCAUUGCAACCCAAACCAGAAAAGAGUAUUUGGGUGUGGAUUGAGUAAACCAAACUACUUCACUCCAAUUACAUUCUAACUGAUCUUCACGCAUAUCCAACCAGGUUUUCUUUAUAGAAUUUUUUUUUUUUUUGAAUAUUUACCAUCAUUACGUUUCCACAAUGGUAUAUCUUCCUCUUGAUUUACUCGCACUCUCGCAUGAUAUCAAUCUCGUCCUCCACUUCAUUUAGUAUUCUUGAUAUGUGUCUUCUUCGUCUGUGUUUGUUCAAUACAUCAACAACCAUUUGCAUCAUCUGUGACCAAGAGCGAUGGUACCACCCUCUCCCAGAAGAGUCUUUAGUUACCCCAAUUGAGACCAGAAAGAAGUAUGCCUUCCACUAUUAUUUACUUCCAUCUUAUGAUAUGAUCUCGCUAUAUCUCUCAGCUUGAGAAGCUUCUUCCACAUCCAAGACCCUGAAGCUGUGUUACAUUUAAUCGACCAGAAUUAGCCUUUUCUAAUCAAAGUAGCAGUGGACCCAUUUAACCCAAAGAGAAGAUCGAGCAGAAGACAACCUCCAUAUCAGUUUCGUAUGGCUAAGGUAGAAGAAAUGAAUUCAGUAAUUGCGGAAAUGAUGAAUAUCACUGCACAAGAAGCAGUCUUGCUCAAACAAUGUCAAGGAUUCUUAUCAAUAGUAGCAGCAAUGCAGGUUAAGGACUGUAGCAGAGAGACGCGCAUAAUACAACUAAGCUUGAAACUGACUUCACAACUGUGGAAACUGAUGGGUUUUCCAUUACUUUUGAUUUCCCAAGCUUUGCUACAAGUUUUCAAUUUCAAUAAUCUAUGCCCGUUAGCACAAGCAGCCUGAUUUUUUUUUGCGCAUACGAGUAGCCUGCUUAGCUCAGCUUUCAAAAGCUUAAUAUAGAAGCCUCAUCAGAUAUACCUUAUCAAAAUUUAUAACUACUAAAAUGUAACAUAAUGUAUAUUCUAUAGUCACAUGCUUACAAAUAUGGUAUUAAACAGCAUAUCUCCGCAACAAAGUAAGUUAAAAAUUCAGAGAUUACUUGACUAACAAUCUCUUACUAACACCAUCCGAACAUAAAAAAAUAACAUUCAACAACCUAAGUUUCCACUACAAACUGUUUGUGGUAGAGAAAAAGUUAACACACGAUUCACAAAUCCAAAUAACACCUCAACAAAUAAUAUUUGUAUAUGUAUUACAUAUAAGAUUCUAGCAAUAAUGUAUAUGUAUUAUCUUUCUCAAAAAAGUAUAUGUAUAAAGCGUAAUGAUAGUUUCAUAUUACCUAUUUAUCUAUCUUAAAAUAAUGUUUAGUUAUAUAGAAUAAGUUAUUUCUUUUACAUUGUGAACUCAUUAGUCUGUUUUAAGUGUACAAAGAAAAUAAAAAAUAAUUUAAGUUUUACAAUUUUAUAAUAAUUAGACAAGCAUUUAUUUUUCUCUGAAACAGACAAGUAUAUAAUUUCUAAAAGAAUAGUUAAAUUUUUUUGUAAAAAAAUAUGAACGUUAAUAAUAAUUUUUGUUAAAAUAAACUAAACAUUUAAAAUAAAUUUAUAUAAUUUUUCUUUAUCCGCCCGCCCGUAGAACGGGUUUACCUUAAUAUGUUAUAUUUUAAACUUUUUAAAAUGACUAUAAAUUACUAAAAAAGUAAAAUUCUCAUAUUUAAAUUUUUAUGAUCAAUGGUGUAUUUGUUUUAUUCAAA